AAUAGAUACCCGGGUAGUCCAUGCCGUAAACGUUGGGAACUAGAUGUAGGGCCUGUUCCACGGGUUCUGUGUCGUAGCUAACGCAUUAAGUUCCCCGCCUGGGGAGUACGGCCGCAAGGCUAAAACUCAAAGGAAUUGACGGGGGCCCGCACAAGCGGCGGAGCAUGCGGAUUAAUUCGAUGCAACGCGAAGAACCUUACCAAGGCUUGACAUAUAGAAGAACACUGCAGAGAUGCAGGACUCUUUGGACACUUCUAUACAGGUGGUGCAUGGUUGUCGUCAGCUCGUGUCGUGAGAUGUUCGGUUAAGUCCGGCAACGAGCGCAACCCUCGUCCUAUGUUGCCAGCACGUAAUGGUGGGAACUCAUGGGAUACUGCCGUGGUCAACACGGAGGAAGGUGGGGAUGACGUCAAAUCAUCAUGCCCCUUAUGUCUUGGGCUUCACGCAUGCUACAAUGGCCGGUACAAAGAGCUGCGAUACCGCGAGGUGGAGCGAAUCUCAAAAAAGCCGGUCUCAGUUCGGAGGUU
rnacentral:rRNA from 1 species